rnacentral:rRNA from 1 species
UACGAAGGGGGCUAGCGUUGCUCGGAAUCACUGGGCGUAAAGCGCACGUAGGCGGAUUGCUAAGUCAGGGGUGAAAUCCUGGAGCUCAACUCCAGAACUGCCUUUGAUACUGGAGAUUUUGAGUCCGGGAGAGGUGAGUGGAACUGCGAGUGUAGAGGUGAAAUUCGUAGAUAUUCGCAAGAACACCAGUGGCGAAGGCGGCUCACUGGCCCGGAACUGACGCUGAGACGCGAAAGCGUGGGGAGCAAACAGG